UGAUUUACAUUUGAGUGAGUGGCGAACUGGUGAGUAACACGUGGGAAACCUGCCCAGAAGCGGGGGAUAACACCUGGAAACAGAUGCUAAUACCGCAUAACAACUUGGACCGCAUGGUCCGAGCUUGAAAGAUGGCUUUGGCUAUCACUUUUGGAUGGUCCCGCGGCGUAUUAGCUAGAUGGUGGGGUAACGGCUCACCAUGGCAAUGAUACGUAGCCGACCUGAGAGGGUAAUCGGCCACAUUGGGACUGAGACACGGCCCAAACUCCUACGGGAGGCAGCAGUAGGGAAUCUUCCACAAUGGACGAAAGUCUGAUGGAGCAACGCCGCGUGAGUGAAGAAGGGUUUCGGCUCGUAAAACUCUGUUGUUAAAGAAGAACAUAUCUGAGAGUAACUGUUCAGGUAUUGACGGUAUUUAACCAGAAAGCCACGGCUAACUACGUGCCAGCAGCCGCGGUAAUACGUAGGUGGCAAGCGUUGUCCGGAUUUAUUGGGCGUAAAGCGAGCGCAGGCGGUUUUUUAAGUCUGAUGUGAAAGCCUUCGGCUCAACCGAAGAAGUGCAUCGGAAACUGGGAAACUUGAGUGCAGAAGAGGACAGUGGAACUCCAUGUGUAGCGGUGAAAUGCGUAGAUAUAUGGAAGAACACCAGUGGCGAAGGCGGCUGUCUGGUCUGUAACUGACGCUGAGGCUCGAAAGUAUGGGUAGCAAACAGGAUUAGAUACCCUGGUAGUCCAUACCGUAACGAUGAAUGCUAAGUGUUGGCAGGGUUUCCCGCCCUUUCAGUGCUGCAGCUAACGCAUUAAGCAUUCCGCCUGGGGAGUACGGCCGCAAGGCUGAAACUCAAAGGAAUUGACGGGGGCCCGCACAAGCGGUGGAGCAUGUGGUUUAAUUCGAAGCUACGCGAAGAACCUUACCAGGUCUUGACAUACUAUGCAAAUCUAAGAGAUUAGACGUUCCCUUCGGGGACAUGGAUACAGGUGGUGCAUGGUUGUCGUCAGCUCGUGUCGUGAGAUGUUGGGUUAAGUCCCGCAACGAGCGCAACCCUUAUUAUCAGUUGCCAGCAUUAAGUUGGGCACUCUGGUGAGACUGCCGGUGACAAACCGGAGGAAGGUGGGGAUGACGUCAAAUCAUCAUGCCCCUUAUGACCUGGGCUACACACGUGCUACAAUGGAUGGUACAACGAGUUGCGAACUCGCGAGAGUAAGCUAAUCUCUUAAAGCCAUUCUCAGUUCGGAUUGUAGGCUGCAACUCGCCUACAUGAAGUCGGAAUCGCUAGUAAUCGCGGAUCAGCAUGCCGCGGUGAAUACGUUCCCGGGCCUUGUACA
rnacentral:rRNA from 2 species